GGUGAACGCUGGCGGCGUGCUUAACACAUGCAAGUCGAACGAAGCAAUUGGAGUGCUUGCACUUUGAUUGACUGAGUGGCGGACGGGUGAGUAACGCGUGGGGUAACCUGCCUCACACAGGGGGACAACAGUUGGAAACGGCUGCUAAUACCGCAUAAGCGCACAGUACCGCAUGGUACAGUGUGAAAACUCCGGUGGUGUGAGAUGGACCCGCGCCUGAUUAGCUAGUUGGUAGGGUAACGGCCUACCAAGGCGACGAUCAGUAGCCGGCCUGAGAGGGUGAACGGCCACAUUGGGACUGAGACACGGCCCAA
rnacentral:rRNA from 1 species